CAAAGGUUCACAUAAGUCACCUCUGCAACAGGGGUCUGCCAUUCCAAACAAUUCCGGAAAGAUUGCACAGGACUGGAUAAAUAAUUAAGAACAGAGUGUUCUGAACAUAACUCCAAGUAGAAGAGCCUCAAGCUGAAGGUACAGUAUCUUGUUUACACUGAAGGAGCUUGUGUGUGGACAAGAAAGCGCUGACAGCUCAAAUGGAUCCCAUGGAACUGAGCAAUGUCAACAUCGAACCUGAUGAUGAGAGCAUCAGUGGAGAAAGUAUUCAAGAUAGCUACACCGGGAUGGGAAAUUUAGAAAAGGCAGCAAUGAGCAGUCAAUUUACUAAUGAAGAUGCUGAAAGUCAGAAAUUUCUGACAAAUGGAUUUUUGGGGAAAAAGAAGCUGGCAGAUUAUGACGAUGAACAUCAUCCUGGAACCACCUCCUUUGGAAUGUCUUCAUUCAAUCUGAGUAAUGCCAUCAUGGGUAGUGGAAUCCUGGGCCUGUCCUAUGCCAUGGCCAACACAGGGAUCAUCCUUUUUAUAAUCAUGCUGCUUGCCGUGGCAAUCCUAUCUCUCUAUUCAGUUCAUCUUUUAUUAAAGACUGCAAAGGAAGGAGGGUCUUUAAUUUAUGAAAAACUAGGUGAAAAGGCAUUUGGAUGGCCUGGGAAAAUCGGAGCUUUUAUUUCCAUUACAAUGCAGAACAUUGGAGCCAUGUCAAGCUACCUCUUCAUUAUUAAAUAUGAACUACCUGAAGUAAUCAGAGCGUUCAUGGGACUUGAAGAAAAUACUGGAGAAUGGUAUGUCAAUGGCAACUACCUCGUCAUAUUUGUGUCAGUUGGAAUCAUUCUUCCACUUUCUCUUCUUAAAAAUUUAGGUUACCUUGGUUAUACCAGCGGAUUUUCUCUUACCUGCAUGGUGUUUUUUGUCAGUGUGGUGAUUUACAAGAAAUUCCAAAUACCCUGCCCUCUGCCUGUUCUGGAUCACAAUGUUGGGAAUCUGACAUUCAACAAUACAGUUCCAAUGCACGUGAUGAUGUUACCCAACAACUCUGAGAGUAGUGGUGUAAACUUCAUGAUGGAUUACACCCACCAGAAUCCUGCAGGGCUGGAUGACAACCAGGCCAAGGGCUCAAUUCAUGGCAGUGGAGUAGAGUAUGAAGCACACAGUGAUGACAAGUGUCAGCCCAAAUAUUUUGUAUUCAACUCCCGGACGGCCUACGCAAUUCCCAUCCUAGCAUUUGCUUUUGUAUGCCACCCUGAGGUCCUUCCCAUCUACAGUGAACUUAAAGAUCGGUCCCGGAGGAAGAUGCAAACAGUGUCAAAUGUUUCCAUCACGGGGAUGCUCGUCAUGUACCUGCUUGCUGCCCUCUUUGGUUACCUAACCUUUUAUGGAGAAGUUGAAGAUGAAUUGCUUCACGCUUACAGCAAAGUGUACACAUUUGACACCCCUCUCCUCAUGGUACGCCUGGCCGUCCUGGUGGCAGUAACACUAACUGUGCCCAUAGUGCUGUUCCCUGAGCCCAAGAAGAGAUGACAAGAGUUCUGUUGUUGUUGGUGGUGGUGGUUGCUUUUUCCUUUUAUCUCUCCAUUUAUUAUCUUUCUUUUCUCCAGACAGGUUAGCUUUGUCCUUCUUAGAAAGUGCACAAAGUAAGUGCUUGAAGUGUUUAUUGAACAAUAAAUAAAUAAAGAGAAUUAAGACUCUAGCUUUUUCACAAGCCACUCAAUACUGUUUUUUCUUUCUUAGUAGUGGGAGGGGGUGAUAUGGAGUGGGAUGUCUAUUAUGGGACUGCACCUCCUUCCCAAGGAUAAUGCUAUUUUCAGCUUGUGCUUCCCUUUAUGCAGAAAAUGCACACAUUACCAUGAAAAACAGAAAGCCCAAUAACCCUAAUGGGUUUAUCAAGAACACACAGACUCAAAUUCUACCUACCGCACCUUAAAAAAAAGAAAGGAGAUCGUGUCUCAGAUUCUUUGGCUACUUCCUCUUCAUUUUAUUUUAGUAAAACCAAUCUUUUCACUUAUGUUGCCUUCAGACUUCCUGUUUUGAAGUGAAUAUAGAUAUAGGCCUAGAAAUAUGGCAGAUGUUGCUAUGAACUGGAAUAGAAUAGUGAUGCAUAGGUAUUUCCUACACUCUUGUCCUACGCAAUCCUACUGAAGUAUGGUUCACUUCUCAACAACAGAAUGGAUUUUUUUUUCGAGUUCAGAACUAAGGCUCCCAAUUUCUACUCAACCUCCACGUUUCUGACUUCACAUUGAGUCCCCACUUUAGAACACAGCACCUCCUAACAGGCUCAGAACACUGUCUCUGGAAAUAACAGAUGUGUUCUCUAGAACUGCAUGGAACUUUUCUAGAAUUAUUCAUGGGGCUGUGGCUGGGGACUUCCCCACGCACAGCAUCUGACCCACAUUUCCAGGUUCUUAUCAGUUUGUGUCAGAGAGAAAAGGGCACUGAGAUAAGUGGGGCGGAAGGCAAGGCUCUCUGGGUAAUAAGUCAGAGUCACCUCUAUCUUGACACAGGUAAAUAGAGCUGCUGGGGACCUCUCGAUCCCAGGCUCACCCCUCAAGGCAGCGUUUUAACAUGGAAUGACUAGCAAGUUUCAUUCUAUUCUUUUCCACCAACUACCACCAUCAGCAGCCUUCUAUCUCCCUAUUUGUCCUGUUGCCCAUUUUAGGAAUGCAUUGGCAACUCUAUAUGCCUUCAGUUCUGUUUGGGAUUUUGUUAUUCCUUAUUCAUUCUGAAGAGCAAGAUUUCACCAUUUACUUCAACCAUUAUUCCUGUAAACUUUCUAUACUGUUACAUCAUUAGGCCAAAUCUUCGUCUUUCUGGGAGUUACCUUAGGAAACUGUAUUUAUUUACAUUCAGAGGCCCUGUACAUAUAAGUUUGCCUCUAACUCAGCUUAUAGAAUUAAAGGCAUUAUUUCAACAAAGGGCUGAAAAGCACAUACCUGUGACCCCUGCCUGAAAAUAACCUGUAUUCUACUUGUUUAUGCUAUAAGUUUAUCACUUUCAGACAAAUAAAUCCUUAAGCACUAUGUAUGAACCAUCGAAAGCUUAUUUUAAGCUUAUUAAGUUAGGACAAUAUUGAAUAAGCCCUAAUUGUAGGACAUAAUGUAGAAUUUCCAAGCUGCUGGGGAAAACAAAAUCAAACCAUUUGUUUUCCUCAGUCUACUUUUCAGAGUGAGUUUCAUAAUUUUCAGUCAUCCAAAUUUUAAAAUGCAUUACAAACAAACCGUUUCCAGAGACUAUCUGGCUUUGCCAUUCUGGAAGUGAAAUUGCCUUUUAAACCUAAGCAGAUGGCUUUAAUUUUUGCUGGACUGGUAUGAAGAGAAUGUCACAUUAGACACUGUAAACAAUUCAGCUCAAAGUUUUUGUCAUUCAUAUGUGUGUUUCAAAAUAUAUUUUACAUUUUCUCUCUUUUAAGUGAAUUCCCAUCUCCACACCAUUAAGAGACUUCAGAAGCAAAAUUUUAAAGUGAAAAUCAAUCCUAGCGUUUCUAAAAAUGGGAAGUUCUAGCUUAACUCAAGUGCUCACUUAUUGAAAAGCCAAUAAACGAAUUCCACUAAGUCCAAAAGUGUCCUCUAAAAGAUUCCAAAGAUAAGAGUAUUUCCAGCUUUGUUAAGCUGUUCAAACAUAAAUGGCACUCCCUCCCUCUACCCGCAAGGAUCUUUUUAUCCGGUUACAUCAGGGUAACUUGAGCAGGUGCUACAACUGGAGCCUCUCUUGACCCUUCCCCUACUUAUUUCAGCUGCUGAAAUAGGGCUGAAAUCUGUCAAGGAUCUCAAAGGGAGGGAAAAGUUUUGCUCUGUUCAACUUAAGUCAACAUUUAUUGAGUGCCUCCUGCGUGCAAGACACUAAGGUAGAAAUGAGGAGUGUUAAGAUUAUUAGGUCUUGUUCUUUGCCUUUUGUGCAUUUAUCAUCUAUACUUGUGGGGAGGUAAAAGGAGGAAAAAAGAAAGGAGUAAACACAAAAUAUAUCAUAUUUUUAAAAAUAUUAGUUGGCAAAAAUGGUAAAUCAAAUGUAAAAUUAAGAAACACUAGGUUUGUAAAAAUUCUGCUCACAAUCACAUGCAAAUAAAUUCAGUGCUUGCCCUUCAUACUUAAUCCAGGCUGAUGAGACAUGAUUAGAAAUCAACAAGGGUUCUACUGUGUCUCUGAAUUAUAUAUCUUAUCUGUUCUUUUAUCUCUUUCUGACUGAGAUUAUUUUCAAGAAAAAAAUUCUGAAAGCCGAGAAAGUGAGCACAAGAUAGAUCACCAAGGAAAAUGACACUUUACCAAACAUCAAAAAUCAGCAUCAAACUUGCACAACAAUAUGAAUGUACUUAAUACCACUGGACUGUACAUUUAAAAAUGGCUAAGAUGAUUCGUACAUCAGUGACCACACUGUUAUUUCCCAAAAGACCCUUCAGCUGGAUAAGACAUUUCCUGAUUGCAGCCAUACUUAUUG